GUUCGUGGCUUGUCAUCAGUCCUUGGGUGGUUUUCUUUUUGUGUUUUGAGGCACUUAACGCAAAUUUUUGAUGAGGUGGUUUUAGUAAUUUAUUGCGCCUUUAUGAGGUACUUCUUCCCCAGUGGCUCAGCGGUAAAGAAGCCACCUGCGGUGCAGGAGACACAGAGACUCUGGUUCCAUCCUUGGGUUGGGAAGAUCCCCUGGAGGAGGAAAUGGCAACUCACUCCAGUAUUCUUGUCUGGGAAAUCCUAUGGACAGAAAGGAGCCUGUCCAUGGGGUCGCAAAAGAAUCGGACAUAGCUGAGCGACUAAACAAGGACAACGUAUCAGGCACUUCGUUAAGCCUUUUGGGUGCAUUUUUGCAUGUAAUCCUUGGAACAGUCUGAUGAGAUAGGAGUGUGUCUGCCCUCUGAUGCCCUCUUGCAACACCUACCUUGGACUACAAGGAGAGCCAACCAGUCCAUUCUGAAGGAGAUCAGCCCUGGGAUUUCUUUGGAAGGAAUGAUGCUAAAGCUGAAACUCCAGUACUUUGGCCAUCUCAUGCAAAGAGUUGACUCACUGGAAAAGACUCUGAUGCUGGGAGGGAUUGGAGGCAAGAGGAGAAGGGGACUACAGAGGAUGAGAUGGGUGGAUGGCAUCACUGACUCGAUGGAUGUGAGUCUGAGUGAACUCUGGGAGUUGGUGUUGGACAGGGAGGCCUGGCAUGCUGUGAUUCAUGGGGUCGCAAAGAGUCGGACACAACUGAGCGACUGAUCUGAUCUGAUCUGAUGCUUUUGAACUGUGGUGCUGGAGAAGACUCUUGAGAGUCCCUUGGACAGCAAGGAGAUCCCACCAGUCCAUCCUAAAGGAAAUCAGUCUUGAAUAUUCAUUGGAAGGGCUGAUGCUGAAAUUGAAACUCCAGUACUUUGGCCACCUGAUGCGAAGAACUGACUCAUUUGAAAAGACCCUGAUGCUGGGAAAGAUUGAAGGCGGGAGGAGAAGGAGACGACAGAGGAUGAGAUGUUUGGAUGGUAUCACCGACUCAAUGGACAUGAGUUUGAAUAAACUUCAGGAGUUGGUGGAGAGGGAGUCCUGCCGUGCAGUCCAUGGGGUUACAAAGAGUUGGACAUGACUGAGCAACUGGAUUGAACUGAAAGUAAAGGGUU
ensembl:lncRNA